UUCCCUCUUUCCACUUUCAUGCUAAAUCUCAGUCCCUUUCAACUUUCGACAGAACUAAUACACGAAAUUUUUGCACAAACUCAUCCUUGCUUUGACCCAACGUCUCUUUGCAUCGAUUUUAUUUUUUCUUUCCCUGCAACCUCACUGAAAAGCUGGGGUUUUCACUUAUCUGAUUAUGAAUCCAAAAAUCGAAUUCAAACGGCUCCAUUUGACUAAUUUUGAAAUCCGAAAUUCAAAUAUUUUUCCCUAUAAAUACCAUUGUUUGGAGUUGUUAUAGGGGAGACUUUUUGGCCGCCACCAUUUCGGAACUUCAAGGUUCUUAAAGUCGUUUAGUUCAGUUUAAAGGCUUACACGAGAGCUGGAUCCACCUACACUAGUGACUAGACACACGAACCAGUCACCUUUUGAACACUACUACUUUGCCACUCUCAUCACUGUUAUAGUCUCUAAAACACUCAAAAAAUCUCUUACAGAACUUUUCUUCCGAUCGAGGUUCGAAUCUUUUCAUAACGAGAGAGUAGAUUCGAGGCCAACAUCAUCCCAGUUCACUGCACCCAGCAAGGAUCUGAGGCAGGUGCAUCUGGUGGACAUACCAGCGCGCAUCCCCGUUACCCGGAGGCCUAGUGGUGGGCUGCUUCCCGAGCUGUUUCGCAGCACCUAGAGUCUCUCAUUUGCUUUCAUUUUCUGUCUAUUUUUGUUUUAGACAGUAGCUAGAGUUUGUACAAUCAGGUCUUGGCACACACACUAGCAGAUUUUAUGAUUUUGGAUUAUUACUAUUGUUAUGAUUGCACUCAGCUGCUUUCGUUUUAUUUAUUUAAAUCUGUUGUUUCUUAAUCUUUUAA